rnacentral:tRNA from 1 species
AUUUCUAUUAAUAUAGUUUAAGAAAAACAUUACAUUUUCAUUGUAAAAUUAAAUUACAUUUUAUUA